rnacentral:rRNA from 1 species
GACGAACGCUGGCGGCGUGCCUAAUACAUGCAAGUAGAACGCUGAAGAGAGGAGCUUGCUCUUCUUGGAUGAGUUGCGGACGGGUGAGUAACGCGUAGGUAACCUGCCUUGUAGCGGGGGAUAACUAUUGGAAACGAUAGCUAAUACCGCAUAACAAUGGAUGACACAUGUCAUUUAUUUGAAAGGGGCAAUUGCUCCACUACAAGAUGGACCUGCGUUGUAUUAGCUGGUAGGUGAGGUAAUGGCUCACCUAGGCGACGAUACAUAGCCGACCUGAGAGGGUGAUCGGCCACACUGGGACUGAGACACGGCCCAGACUCCUACGGGAGGCAGCAGUAGGGAAUCUUCGGCAAUGGGGGCAACCCUGACCGAGCAACGCCGCGUGAGUGAAGAAGGUUUUCGGAUCGUAAAGCUCUGUUGUAAGUCAAGAACGGGUGUGAGAGUGGAAAGUUCACACUGUGACGGUAGCUUACCAGAAAGGGACGGCUAACUACGUG